GGCCCAAUAGCAUAACGGUUAUUGCAUUGCGCAUCCCUAGUUCUGUAUGGAUGUUGCACGCAAAGGACGCAGGUUCAACUCCUGUUUGGGCUC